GCAACUCGAUUCCAUGAAGUCGGAAUCGCUAGUAAUCGUGGAUCAGAAUGCCACGGUGAAUACGUUCCCGGGCCUUGUACACACCGCCCGUCACACCAUGGGAGUGGGUUGCAAAAGAAGUAGGUAGCUUAACCUUCGGGAGGGCGCUUACCACUUUGUGAUUCAUGACUGGGGUGAAGUCGUAACAAGGUAACCGUAGGGGAACCUGCGGUUGGAUCACCUCCUUA
rnacentral:rRNA from 1 species